rnacentral:rRNA from 1 species
UACGAAGGGUGCUAGCGUUGCUCGGAAUUACUGGGCGUAAAGCGCACGUAGGCGGCUCUUUAAGUCGGGGGUGAAAUCCUGGAGCUCAACUCCAGAACUGCCUUCGAUACUGGAGAGCUUGAGUUCGGGAGAGGUGAGUGGAACUGCGAGUGUAGAGGUGAAAUUCGUAGAUAUUCGCAAGAACACCAGUGGCGAAGGCGGCUCACUGGCCCGAUACUGACGCUGAGGUGCGAAAGCGUGGGGAGCAAACAGG